rnacentral:tRNA from 1 species
UAAAAAAUAGUUUAAAUUAAAAUAUUAAUUUUGGAAAUUAAUGAAAUAAAUAUAAUUUAUUUUUUUUUA